rnacentral:misc_RNA from 1 species
UUGGCCAAAAUUGACAGCUUGGCCAGACAAGUGGAGAAGAGCUCUGCUGACGUUCUUGAGCAGGAAACUCGUAAUAGGAAGUUAAGGUACAAAGUUGCCCGGACUGGACCAGAGUAACUGUUUCAUUCUUGCUUGUAUUUUUUAGGUUGCGUCAGGGAUGUGCCUCUCCACAAUUGAUCUUGUUGUUUCAUAAAGGGAUAAUUCUCAUGAAGCUGUCAAUUCUUUCAUCAGAAAUUAG